AAAUACACGUAUCGGAGCUGCACGUUCGUAUGUGAAGGAGAUGAAGACGUAUACUUGAGGAACAAUGAAAGAUGUUUUCUUACAGAUAGCCAAUCUCCAUCUACCCAAAUACAAUCCGUGAAUUCAGUGAAUUCACAGGGACGUAAAGCCUCUAGAGGUGUCUGCAACAAUGGAAAAUGCGUUCCCAAACAGAGGAUAACUACGCCGAGCAUAGUUACGUCUACAGUGCCAGCUCCGCCCCGUGAACGCAACCCCGAUUGUAAGGCUAUGGUAGCGAAGGUCAAGGGUUACGUUUACCACAAUUGUACGUUUGUUUGUGAAGUAGACGAGGAAAUAUGCUUGAAAAGCAACGAACUGUGUAUACUUCAAGGAGGUCAAGUUAAAUCACCCGUUCCAAGUCUAACACAACAGACAAGUGGGGCUCAAGGUGUCUGCCAAGAUGGAGUAUGCGUUCCUCAAAGCACGAAGAAGAGCUAGACUCCGCCAGAAAUAAGCAAGCGAAAUAUAUUGCUGUGUCCCCCUU
rnacentral:lncRNA from 1 species